rnacentral:tRNA from 1 species
UCCCUUGUGGCUCAGCUGGUAAAGAAUCUGCUUGUAAUGCAGAAGACCUGGGUUCAAUCCCUGGGUUGGGAA